AAAUGCAUGGUAGGGGAGCGUUCUGUAAGUCUGUGAAGGUGUCUUGUAAAGGAUGCUGGAGAUAUCAGAAGUGCGAAUGCUGACAUGAGUAGCGAUAAAGGGUGUGAAAAGCACCCUCGCCGAAAGCCCAAGGUUUCCUGCGCAACGUUCAUCGGCGCAGGGUGAGUCGGCCCCUAAGGCGAGGCAGAAAUGCGUAGUCGAUGGGAAACAGGUCAAUAUUCCUGUACCGAUUCUAGAUGCGAUGUGGGGAGGGAGAAGGUUAGGUCAGCCAACUGUUGGAAUAGUUGGUUUAAGCGUGUAGGCGUGCCCCUUAGGCAAAUCCGGGGGGCUUAGCUGAGGCGUGACGACGAGGUCUCUUUGAGACCGAAGUGAUUGAUACCCUGCUUCCAGGAAAAGCCACUAAGCUUCAGUCUAGAAUUGACCGUACCGCAAACCGACACAGGUGGGCAGGUAGAAGAUACUAAGGCGCUUGAGAGAACUCAGGAGAAGGAACUCGGCAAAUUGAUACCGUAACUUCGGGAGAAGGUAUGCCCUGGUAGCUUGUAGGAGAACAUCCGAAGGGCGACGGGGCCGCAGAGAAUCGGUGGCUGCGACUGUUUAUUAAAAACACAGCACUCUGCAAACACGAAAGUGGACGUAUAGGGUGUGACGCCUGCCCGGUGCCGGAAGGUUAAGUGAUGGGGUGCAAGCUCUUGAUCGAAGCCCCGGUAAACGGCGGCCGUAACGAUAACGGUCCUAAGGUAGCGAAAUUCCUUGUCGGGUAAGUUCCGACCUGCACGAAUGGCGUAACGAUGGCCACACUGUCUCCUCCUGAGACUCAGCGAAGUUGAAGUGUUUGUGAAGAUGCAAUCUCCCCGCGGCUAGACGGAAAGACCCCAUGAACCUUUACUGUAGCUUUGCAUUGGACUUUGACGGGACUUGUGUAGGAUAGGUGGGAGGCGCUGAGACCAGGACGCUAGUUCUGGUGGAGCCGUCCUUGAAAUACCACCCUGGUGUCGUUGAGGUUCUAACCUAGGUCCAUCAUCUGGAUCGGGGACCGUGCAUGGUAGGCAGUUUGACUGGGGCGGUCUCCUCCCAAAAGGUAACGGAGGAGUACGAAGGUCUUCUAGGUACGGUCGGACAUCGUACUGAUAGUGCAAUGGCAAAAGAAGGCUUGACUGCGAGACCGACAAGUCGAGCAGGUGCGAAAGCAGGUCAUAGUGAUCCGGUGGUUCUGUAUGGAAGGGCCAUCGCUCAACGGAUAAAAGGUACUCUGGGGAUAACAGGCUGAUUCCGCCCAAGAGUUCACAUCGACGGCGGAGUUUGGCACCUCGAUGUCGGCUCAUCACAUCCUGGGGCUGUAGCCGGUCCCAAGGGUAUGGCUGUUCGCCAUUUAAAGUGGUACGUGAGCUGGGUUUAAAACGUCGUGAGACAGUUUGGUCCCUAUCUGCCGUGGGCGCUGGAUAUUUGAGG
rnacentral:rRNA from 1 species